CCUACGGGAGGCAGCAGUGGGGAAUAUUGCACAAUGGGGGAAACCCUGAUGCAGCGACGCCGCGUGAGUGAAGAAGCGCCUCGGCGUGUAAAGCUCUGUCAGCAGGAACGAUAAUGACGGUACCUGUAGAAGAAGCACCGGCUAACUACGACCCAGCAGCCGCCGUAAUAAGUAGGGGGCAAGCGUUAUCCUGAUUUACUGGGUGUAAAGGGAGGGUAGACGGCGGGGCAAGUCGGGAGUGAAAGGCCGGGGCCCAACCCCUGGACCGCUCUUGAAACUGCACGGCUUGAGUGCGGGAGAGGUAAGCGGAAUGCCGAGGGUAGCGGUGAAAUGCGUAGAUAUUAGGAGGAACACCAGCGGCGAAGGCGGCGUACUGGACCGUGACUGACGUUGAGGCUCGAAAGCGUGGGGAGCAAACAGGAUUAGAUACCCCGGUAGUC
rnacentral:rRNA from 1 species